rnacentral:rRNA from 1 species
CAGCAGCCACGGUAAUACGGAGGGUGCAAGCGUUACUCGGAAUCACUGGGCGUAAAGGACGCGUAGGCGGAUUAUCAAGUCUCUUGUGAAAUCUAACGGCUUAACCGUUAAACUGCUUGGGAAACUGAUAAUCUAGAGUAAGGGAGAGGCAGAUGGAAUUCUUGGUGUAGGGGUAAAAUCCGUAGAUAUCAAGAAGAAUACCUAUUGCGAAGGCGAUCUGCUGGAACUUAACUGACGCUAAUGCGUGAAAGCGUGGGGAGCAAACAGGAUUAGAUACCCCCGUAGUCCCUGUCUCUUAUAC